rnacentral:rRNA from 1 species
UGGGUAACCUGCCUCAAAGAGGGGAAUAGCCUCCCGAAAGGGAGAUUAAUACCGCAUAAUAUGUUUAGGUCGCAUGACUUUAACAUCAAAGGAUUUUCUUUUAGUACUUCCACUUUGAGAUGGACCCGCGGCGCAUUAGCUAGUUGGUGAGGUAACGGCUCACCAAGGCAACGAUGCGUAGCCGACCUGAGAGGGUGAUCGGCCACAUUGGAACUGAGACACGGUCCAGACUCCUAGGGAGG